CACACUGUCCUUCAUGACCAGAGUGCCCUGCAGCAGCCGUGGCUUCUUGGCGUCUGGGAGUAGCCCUGCGGGGAGCAGGCCGGCCCUGUCAGCGUACCACCCGCCUGCCGCCCACCACCAGGUGCACCCCCCACCCAAUGCUGCCCGCCCACCCCCACCUACCCUGUGCCAUCUCCCGCUUCAGCAGCCCCAGCGAGAUGCCCACAGGGAUGCUGGGGCUCGUGGGCACCGUCACUGUCUCACCGUUGGCUGGCAUGAAGCAGCUCACCCCUGGGCCAGGGGCAGACAAAGCCUCAGUCGGGCCCAGCCAGCCCACCCAGGGUGACCCUCCAGGCAAGGCCCCCCAGACCCCGCCCCAGGCGCCUACGGAAUUCCUGCUCGAUCUUCUGCUUGAGAAACUCCAUCUUCUUGGCCUCGCCGUGCACCAGCAGCACGUUCUCGGGCUCGGCCUGCCGGGCCAGCUGCAUGAUGCCCUUGGCGUCGGCAUGGGCGCUGAAGGACAUGUACUCCACCUGCAUCUUCACCUCCAGCUGUGGCGCCACAGCACACAGCACGUGUCCCCGCGUGGCCGAGGGAGGGGCGCCUGCCCCGCCCUACCCGCCACCAUUGGGAGACUCACCACCUGCCGCCCCUCCAUCUCCAACUUGCGCUGCCCACUCAGGAUCUUGUGGCCCACGGUGCCCUGCACGCAGUAGCCCGGCAUGAUGACCUGCUCGGGAGAGAGGGGGGAUGCAGGGGGCACAGGAGAGGGCCUCCUUCUGGGGCGUCCUCCCCUGCCCUGCCUGACCCCAAACCUCUGAGGGAAGGCCCCUUGCCUUCCAGCAGUAUCCUGGUGCCAACCCGGCCGAGCUCCAGGGUCAAGUCCUCCCAGAGCAGGUGCCGGGUGGCACGUGACCGUCCCGUGGGCAGGAGGAUGGGGCGGGAGGGAUGGUCAGCUAACCUGCCUCCCGCCAACUCUGCCCGGAACCCCCAGCUCCCGGCCCCCGUGCCCACACCCCUACCAUGUUCUUCUCAUUCCCAGCCCACUUCCGGAAAAUCUGCAGGGACUGGCCGGCAUGCAGCAUCCCCGGUGUAGCAAACACCACCUAUGGAUGGAUGUGGGGGUCAGCCAGAGCCCACCUGAACACACCUGGAGGGGAUCCGCCCAACCUACUGGCAGCCCUUCCUCCCCUUGGGGCCUCCCUGACCUGCCGCGGCCCCACGAAGAAGCACACGUGUCUGUUUCCUGCUCCUCCGGAGGACCUCUCAGACCAGGUCAACCCCAGCCUGGAGCCCCCUCCUCCAAGCCCCCUGUCCAGAGCCUCACACCACACCCCCAGCCUGGAGACCCCCCCCCAUCGCGUCCCCUGCCCUGAGCCCCCAGCCUGAGUUAGAACAAAGCGGCGGUAGCAAGCAGGCAUGGGUGUGCAGGACUGCCCUUGGCUGCUGGUGCCCACCGCACCAUCCUGUCCCCCAGGCCCCCGUUCUGCCCUCUUGAGGUAGGGCCUCACCAUGGGCCCGGGGUUGUCGGCAAACGCUCGGUCAAAAGCCUUGAUGUGCUUGAACUCAAACAUGUUCCUCUGGACAAAAGUUUUCCGGAUCUUCUGGUUGGUCCAGGUGAUGAAGAGCUUAUAAUAGUGAUUUGCCUUCUCGGUCAGGCCCGUGGAGAAGUAGAUGGGGGCCUUCAGGUCCAUCCGCUCCCUGAGCAGGGGCCCGCCCACUCAGUGCAGCAGCCAUGACUCGGCCACCCACACGCUUCAGGGUGGAGCCGGGCCCCCACCAACCCCCAGUCUACCCUGUAAGGGGGACCCACAGGAUCUUGCGUGGGGCUGCACGGCCCUGGCACCCAGCCAGACCCCCACUAGCUGGAGGUCACCCACGUACCUGCCCACCCACCGCCUGCCAUCCAAGGAGGACCCAGCACACCCACCAGAAGGUCUCCAGCAGGAUGCAAAGCUCUUGGGCGCGGCCGAGCGCAAACACGGGGAUGAGCACCUGGGGACAGCACCACAGUCACUGGUUACUCGGGGGCUCCUGGCCUUUGGGCAGAGCCACACCCAGACACAAGAAGGCCCCUCCCGGCUGAGCUGAAGGCAGAGGCCAUGUGUCCAUGCAGAGGGCGCGCCCAGGAUCCCUGGGACCAGGAGGCCCUGUGCGGAUCCCUCACGGGCCACCCGCCUCCUGCCCCUGUCCUGUCCCUGGUCACACUCCAGACACACAGCGGACUGUGGAGGAGGCCUGAGCCUCGAGGGACAACAUGCUCCCCAUUUUCCGAGACCAAGGUGGGCCUCGCCCUGCCACGGAGCAGCCGGCUUCACCACUGGGACGAGUGGGCAGGAAGCGCCCACUGGCACCUUCCUGCCGCACUGCUCGGAUGUGCCUGGCACGUUCUGGUACCUUCCCGCCGCGCUCCACGGCCUCGUGGACCUUCUUCAGGAAGUCCCUCUCGCGGCAGCGCUUGGAGUCACGGAUGGUUGUGGCAUACGUGGACUCCGUGAUGAGCAGGUUGGGACGGCACUUGUCGAUCCAGGCAGCUCUGGGCAGGGGUGAACAGGCCGUGGGCAACUCAUAGAGCCCCACAGCCCUGGGUGCCCAGGGGGUGGGGGCGCGACAGGUGAGAGCCCUCUGGCCAGCAGGGGCCUCCUGGGUGAGGGCCAAACACCCAGAGGGUCGGAGUGCCGUGAGCAGUGCGCCUGAGUGAGGGGAGGGAGUGGAUGGAGCCCGGCCCAGGUGCCUAGUGCUGUCCCACUCGCAGACCGUGCAGGGAUGCUGGCAGGGCGCAGGUGCAGGAGCCCCUCAGUGCGCUUACCCCAGGUGCCGGUCCGGAGUCAUGUUGUAAUCGCCCUGGGAAGGAGGACGGUGAUGAGGGGGGCCCCAUCCCCGGGUGCCCACGGGCACUAGAUGGCCUCCCGUGCCCCACACUGACCGUAUACACCACAGACUCAGAGCCCACUUUGAUCUGGAACAUGGCUGCCCCCAGCACGUGGCCCGCGUAGUAGGCCUUGAUUUCCAGCUCGUCAUCCACCUACGGGGGAGGCAGGCGUGGGCUCAGGUCCAUAGGCCACAAUGGGCAGGCAGGCAGGGGUCAGGGGUCAGUGAGGAGCACCACCAAGGCCUGGGAGACACGGGCUGUGGUAGAGGAAGGCUGCAGGCGGGCGUCACUCCCAGCCUCGUGCUAUUUCCAGUUUUCACUUACGAUAUCCAGGCUGUCAAAGCUCCCGGACCCAAGACACAAGGCAAGAGGGCCACGGACUGAAGAAAUGGCCCCAAGGGCUCCCGAGAAUGGGGGAUCAGACGUGGACCUUCAAACGACCAGGGCAACAGGACCAAUGAGACAAACAGGUCGGAAGUACCAGGGAGGCAGAAGGAAGAUGAAGCUCCAGGAAUCCAUCCCUCCACUAAGACAACUAUGGUGCCAGCAGGGACUAUCUGAAACAUCCGUUCUGGAGCCUCGGGGAACCCUUGCCACAUGUGGGAGGAGCCGGAGGAAGAGGCUGACAAACGGCAGUAAAUUCUGAUAGUUUGGAAAAGUCACAAAUACAUGGCUCCAGCCCUUGACAACAACACAGUAAAAAAACAAAAACGACAACAAAAAUCUAGCAAUUGCAGAGUGUGGGAGAACUAGAUUUCCAGUUAUAACAUUAAUAGUCAGAAUGUCCGGUUCCCAACAAAGAAUUAAAACACACAGAGAAAGAGGAAACUAUGGCACAUUCGAAGGGAAAAAAUAAUUUGCCAGAAACCAUCCCUGAGGAAGCUCAUACAUUGGAGCGAUUAGUCAAAGACUUUAAACCAACUGUCUUAAAUAUGUUCAAUGAAGUAAGAAAUCUAUAUAUAAAAACUAUAGAAAAUUAGGAAAAUGUUGUCUGGACAAAAUAGAUGGGAAUUAUAAAAGAACCAACAGAAAUUUUAGAGCCGCCAAGUACACUAAGUGAAAUGAAAAAGUCAUUGAGCACAUUCAGCAGCAGCGAUUAGCAGGCAGAAGAAAGGAUCAGUGAACUGGAGGACAAGUUAUCCAGUGUGGGAAGCAGAAAGGAAAAGGAAUGAAGAAAAACCUCCAAAGCCUGAGGGGCCCAUGGGACACCAUCAAGAAAACCAACAUACACAGCACUGGAGUCCCAGGAGGAAAAGAGAGAAAGGGGCAAAGAGGUAUUUGAAGAAAUAAUGGCUGAAAACUUCCCAAAUCUCAAGAAAGACAUAAGUAUACAUAUCCAGGAAGCUCAAAGAACUCCAAGCAGGAAAUACUUUAAGAGAUCUACACCAAGAUACAUUAGAGUGAAGCUAUCAAAAUCCAAAGACAGAGGAUUUUGAAAGCAGCAAGAGAGAAGUGAGCUGUCACAUAUAAAGGAACCUCAAAAAGAUUAAUACGGGUUUCUCAUCAGAAACCAGGAAGGCCAGCGGACAGCAGGACGGCAUAUUUAAGGUCCUCAGAGAAAAAAACUGCAACCAUGAAUUCCGUAUCUGGCAAAACUGUCUUUCAAAAAUGAAACAGAGAAAAAAGAAGGAUAAUUCCAAUAUUUACAGCUAAACAAGAGCUGAAAGAGUUCGUUACUGGAAGUCCUGCCCUAUAGAAGAGCUAGAGGGAGUCCUUCAGGCUGAAGAAAAGGCCACUAGAAGGUAUAAAGAACAUGGGUAAAAGUAACUACAGAGUGAGUAUACAAUCCCGGAUUAGGACACAACAGGCAACGCUAUUAAAGGUUAUUUAAAAUGACCUUUUAAAUCUGUGUUAACGAGGUAAGUGGAGCCAACAACAUAAAGGGGAGGGAAGCUGGUAAAUAGGAGUGGAGAGUUUAUAUACAACUGAAACUUGGUUAGUGCCAACUGAACCAGGUAGUUAUUAAUCUAAGAGGUUGUCAUCACAAAGGUAACUACUCAGGAAAUGACUGAAAAAUACGGAGAAAAGGGAAGAAGAAGGAAUCGAUAUGGUACCCCCCAAAAAAUCAACUAGGUACAAAAAAGGCUGUAAUGGAGUUAAUUGGGGAACAAAAAACAGACAAGAUGUAUGGAAAACAAAUAGCUGAAUGGCACAAGUCAAUCCUUCCUUCUCAAUUACUACCCUAACUGCCAAUGGGUUAAACGCCGCCAUCGAAAGGCAGAGAUCGACAGGAUGAGAGAGCAGUACCCAUCCACAUGCUGUUCUACGAGAGACUCGCUUCAGACACAAACUCACAGACUGAAUGUAGAAGGGUGGAAAAAGGUAUUCGGUGGAGACAGCAACAAAAGGGAGUGUGAGUGGCUGUCAGAGAAAUAGACUUUAAGUCAAAAAUAAUUAUCAAGAGACAAAGAAUGACAUCAUAUAUUGAUGAAAGGUUCAACCCAGCAAGAAGAUAUAAUGAUUACAAAUAUAUGUGCACCUCACAACAGAGCCCACAAAUAUUUGAAGCAACAGAACUGAGGGGAGGAGGAGAUAGUUCUACAAUAAUAGUUGGAAGCUACAAUAUAUCACUUUCAAUAACUGACAGAACAUCUAAGCAGAUGCUCAUAAGGAAAGAGAGGACACGAACAACACUAUUAUUAGCUAGUUAGCCCUCAGGGACACUUACAGAACCUUCCACCCAAAAAGCAGAAUACACAUUUUCCCCAACUGCACUGGGAACAUUUCCCAGGACAGACCAUAUGUUAGGCCACAAAUGAAAUCUUAAUAAACUUAAAAAUAUAGAAACCAUACAAAAUACCUUCUUGGACCAACAUGGAAUAACGCUAGAAAUAAAAAAACAAGAAAAACUGGAAAAUUAUAAAUAAGUGGAAAUUGAACACAUUAAACAACCCAUGGGUCAAAGAAGAAAUCACACGGGAUAUUAGGAAAGACUUGGAGAGUAACAAAAACGAAAGCACAAUGUACCAAAACUUAUGGGAUGCAGCGAAGGCAGUGACCAGAGAGAAAUUUAUAGCUCUAGAUACCUCCAUUAAAAAAGAAGAAAGAUCACAAAUCAGUAACUAACUUCACAUCUGAAGAAACUAGAGCAAGAGCAAAAUGAACCCAAGGUACUAGAAAGGAAUUAAUAGAUAUUAGAGCAAAGGUAAACAUAAUAAAGAAUAAAAACUGAUAGAGAAAAUCAACAAAAGCAAAAGUUGGAUUUUUGUCAAGAUCAAUGAAACUGACAAACCUUGUGCCAGACUGACGAGAGACAGAGGACACAAAUAACUAAAGUCAGGAAUGAAAGUGGGGACAUUACUAUUGACCUUACAGAAAUAAAAAGUGUUAUAAGAAGGUACUAUGGACAGUUGCAUGUCAACAAAUUAGAAAACCUGGAUGAAAUGGACCAAUUUUAGAAACAUACAAAUUACCUAAUCCGAUGCUGGAAGUUAUAGAAAAAUCUCGACAGACCUAUACCAAGUAAAGAGACUGAAUCAGUUGUUAAAAACCUCCCAAAAAAGAAGUCUAGAACCAGAUGGUUUCACUGCCAAAUUCUACCAAAAAUUUAAAGAAGUUGUAACACCAAUCCAUCUCAUACUCUUCCAAAAACUAGCAAAGGAGGGAUUACUUCUUAACUCCUUCUGUGAGGCCAGCAUUAUCCCAACACCAAAGCCAGAUAAAGACAGCCCAAGAAAAAAAUAAUUACAGACCAAUAUCUCUUAUGAAUAUAGAUGCAAAAACCCUCAACCAAGUCCUGCCACACCAAAUCCAAGUGUACACUGAAACGAUUAUACGCUGAGAAUGUCUGGGCUUCAACUGUGGAGUUCCUAGUUGGGAUGAUGGAAGGGUUUUGGCGAUGGAUGGUGGGGGUUGCAGCACCACACUGCGAAUGUAAUGAACAGCACUGAAAUGUAAUUUUGAAUGUGGUUACAGGGGGAAAUUUGGGGUUACAUUUAUGUUACCAGAGUAGAAAUAAUUUUUAAAAAUCCCUAGGACUGAACUGCCCAGCCAGGGAACCCUGAGGUGAACCAUGGAUGUAGCUAACAAAUGUGCCACACCAGUGCUGGGUGUUGCUAAUAGUGGGUAAUAGUUCAGAUAUACCCUGCAAUAUCUCAUGCAAAAUUUUUCUGCAGACCUACAACUUCUCUAGUGGAAAAAAAAAAAAAAAGAUUGCAUAGAUGGCUUUUAUAGAUUAUAUAGGAGCAAAAACAGCAUUAAUGAAGAAGUAUGUUUCAGAAGGAGCAUGCAACAUGAGGCACAGAGAGACCACAGGGUGGAAGAGGAGAGGUUAAGAGAUUGGGUUCUCAGGGCAAGGGGCUUCAGCUUGCACCUGAAGAAACCUGAAGAAACCUGGCAGAAGCCAGGAAGCCAGACUCAGGGAGCCUCAGACUCUGAGCAGGUUAAACACCAAGAGAAAACACACAUUGGUCAGCCACAUCACAGAGGCUGAAAACCAAAGACAAGGGAUUAUCUUGUAAGCAGCCCAAGAAAAGAUCCUUUUCAAACCUGCAGGCUGGGUAACACAUCCAAAGCUCUGGAGCAAAGUAACUGCCAACUCGGCCUCCACUGAAAAACAUCCUUCGAGAACGAGGCACGUGGCAUCUCGGGUCCUUUCUGACACUGGCAAGGCAAACAUCCCUUCCUCUGUUACCCUUCCUUUUUGCCGUCACUAUGCACUUCAGCCUAAAGAGCCGAUUAAUUAAAACCACGACUGAGGGGGGAAGAAAAAGAAUAAGGGUAAAAUGAAUACAUCUGCAGGCAAAUAGAAAGGGAGAGAAUUCAUCCCAAGUAGCGCCAGGCGGGAGGGAGCUGAGAGCGGGAGGAGGUGAGAGGCAGCCGGAAGCUCAGGUGACAGAGGCGCCGCGUGACCACGCGCAGGCCACACGAGCAAGCAGCAAGAACGGCACGUGGCCAGGUGGAAAGGUGCCAAGGGGCGUAAACGCCAUGGCAACAGGAGCCUGUCGGCCAGGAUUUGAAGCGUUCUAAGAUCCCUGCUUUGUCCAGGAAAAAACUGAAAAAUCCGAUUUUUGUAAAGUUAUGGAUGCAUUUUGUAAUCUCUACCACCACUAUAAGAAUUGAAAGGGUAAUUACUAAGCGAAUAAAGGGAGAAAUGGAAAGAAAAAGCAACCCAAGAAAAGGCAAGAAAAAAGAAAGGAAAAAACAUCGAACAGGCAAAAGGAGUAGGGAGCAAGCAGUAAGGUGCUGCGCCUAACCCACAUUUAUCAGUAAUAGCACUAAAUGUCCAGUCCAAAAAUUCCAUCUAAAAGGCAGAUUACUGGGCUAGGUUUUUUUUUUCUUUCUUUUUUUAAACAAGUAUAUGCUACUUAAGAAAGUUGUAUCCGAAAUACGAUACAAUCGGGUUAAAAGUGAAAAGAUGGGUGGGCUGAUUGCACAGCUUGGUGAUGAUACUGUGAGACAGUGACUGUAUACUUCAGGUGGAUUUAUGAGAUGUGAAUAACAUUUGCAGUUCAGAUAUACCCUGCAAACACUAACCCAAAAAAUAAUGGUAAUAAAAGGUGAAGUAACUGUA